rnacentral:lncRNA from 1 species
CGGAAUACGCAGGAUACUGUACAUUUUGCAAAACAUAUUACUCAUCGGAUGAUCUUGCUUUCAGAUCUUCACUGCACGUGGCUUUAUUUGAAACCUUCUGCUAGAGUCUAGACUCAGCCAUGGAGUCUGGUGACCUGUGGGAGGGAGCAAGGGCCAGAAUGCCUGGUAAAUCGCUCUGGGCCCCCAGCCCUCUUCCUUAAUCCCUUCUUAACUUUCCAUCUGUCUCUGGUCUCCAGGGGUGCAGAACCGCAACCCACCAGCCCUUUCCCAGCUCUCCGGCCCGGCGCUCAGCAGCCUAGGCUGCAACACUUUCCCCCAGGACCGGGAAGGCGGGGGAGGGGGUUUGGAGGGGGCGGAGCUCGGCCUCCUGCUGCCGCCGCUGCUGCUGCCACCGCCGCCGCCGCCUGCAAAGCUGUCACCCCUCUCGCGGAUGCUCAGGCUGGGCAGCGCUGGACAGAUGGGUGCACCCCGGGCCUGACGGAUGAACAGUCGGGCAAGUGAACUCUCACCUCCAAACUGGCUCUGCGCCCGGCUGGGGCGGCGGCGGCGGCGUCUGCAGCCCCGCGGUGGGGGCAGCCCCCUCGGUCUCCGCCCGACUGCUGCGCGCCUCCUCUGCUCUUGGCAUAGUAAUUUCAGUUCCUGAACGCACGGAGCUCUCUCCGGGACCGGGCUGAGAAGGACCUCAGCUCGCGGGCCCGCCGGAGCCAUCGGUGUGGCGCCGAGAGACGGUGCUUGGGAUAUGCGACGGGGAGCCCCCGCCACAGCGCAGGCAGUGGCCCCGCCGCGCCGCGGAGCCGGGCAGACCAGACCAAACCUGAAGAUUGUGGCCCCAGCAAAGAAGCUGUUCGUUCUCAAGAGCAGAGCACCCCAAAUUCUCUCAGGCAGCCUGGUUCUCCUUGCAAACAGCAAAUGGGGAGCACAGAGCAGGUAUAGACCACAAGACCCUGAGGAAUCUGCUUCACAACUUUGCCUAUUCCUGGGUUUCUCCGUAUUCUCUAAGAGUGGAAGAGCCCCAAGGCACCAUCUCAGUGAACAGCUCCCUUUCCACUUCGAUUCCUCACUGCAUAUAUAUUGCCACCAGACAUUUUUCCAUCCUCCAAUGUGA